GCUCAUUUUCAAUCGCCGACCGAUUUCGGGCCGUCAGAGUCGACUGCGAAAUGCUAUCGAUGCGAUGAAGUUUCCGCGCGAAAUUUCAAAAGUCAUAUCACAGCCAGCUUUGACGAGCCGGAUAUCGAGUCUCAUUCAUCUUUCGUCC
rnacentral:precursor_RNA from 11 species